GCAUAUCCUCAAAAAUCCAAGAUGGCGGACAGUUCAUUACUUUCAGUCAAAAUAUUUCAAGAAUCAAGCAAGAUAUGAAACAUAAACAACAAGAUUUUGGAGAUGAUUUUAAACGUUCUUUAAAAUGAAACAAUAAAAUUUUUUGUUGCCAUUGUCCUUUAAUUAAUAUAAAUAGAAAUUCUAUGGCGUGAUACGUAAUAUGAUCGCGGCGGUUUCACUUCCAAGCCAAGUUCACUUUUAGCACGAAUUUAUAUGAUCCUGUCUUUAAUAAUAUACCCUGUAGUCUUAGUACAGAUCAGUGCUAAAAAUAGGGCAAAGUAACGUAUAUAUAAAGAUAGAAAGAGAUUAAAAUAUUCUAAUUUUAUAUAUACUUACAGUCCCAUA